ensembl:lncRNA
AUAUCAUGUUUCUGGAUGGUUCCAGAGGUAAAUAUCAUGUUUCUGGAUGGUUCCACAGGUAAAUAUCAUGUUUCUGGAUGGUUCCACAGGUACAUAUCAUGUUUCUGGAUGGUUCCACAGGUAAAUAUCAUGUUUCUGGAUGGUUCCACAGGUAAAUAUCAUUUUUCUGGAUGGUUCCACAGGUAAAUAUCAUGUUUCUGGAUGGUUCCACAGGUAAAUAUCUUGUUUCUGGAUGGUUCCAGAGGGGUAAAUAUCAUUUUUCUGGAUGGUUCCAGAGGGGUAAAUGCUAUUUUUCUGGAUGGUUCAUGAGGACUUGGAGGUAUACAAGGAAGGGCACUACUGAUCACUAGAAAUCACAACUCAUUUCAGCAGUCUUUAGCCAGAAUUAGAAUGACUUGUAUGGACUUUGAACCACUGACCGUGGCAAUUUGACUGGUAAACCAAUCAUAGUACUAAUUAUAAUUAUAUGGCCAGGGUCUGGCUGAGGACCACCUGUGGUUUCCACCCUCCAUUCAGGAACUGCUGCCCUAUUUUGUGCUAAACACUAUAACCAAAUCCCAAAAUGCCACCCUAUUCCCUAUAUAGUGCACUACUUUAGACCAGAGUCCUAUGGCACCCUAUUCCCUAUAUAUAGUGCACUACUAUAGACCAGGGCCCUAUGGCACCCUAUUCCCUAUUAAUAGUGCACUACUUUAGACCAGAAACAU